CAAUUCCUGGAACAGAUAAAGCCCCAAACUGCUCAGAACAGCGCGCAGACCUCUUGCCUCUCUACUCCCCAAACCUGCCCGUGGUUCCUCAGUAAUCCCUGAGCACCCGCAGCUCCCGGGUUCCCUGCUGCGCCCGCCUGGAGCCCAAAUUCCAUCCGAGUGGCAGGUGGCGGAGGCCACAGCGCUGGUGCACACGCUGGACGGCUGGUCCGUGGUGCAGACAAUGGUCGUGUCCACCAAAACGCCGGACAGGAAGCUCAUCUUUGGCAAAGGGAACUUUGAGCACCUGACAGGUGGGUCCGUCCAGACCUGCUCCUUCCCCAAACCUCCUUUCCUGUCCGCUGCUACAGAAAACAUCCAACCGAGACAUGCUGAAGUACGGGGGUCUUGCGGGGCCAGAGGGGAAGCGGCCUCUCGGAUUGCCCAGGUAAGCUGGGAGCACACGCCAGUAGGAGUCGGAGGACGGUGAGGCUUUAUCUGUGUCGAGAUUCACACCAGGCCCUGGAGAGGCUUAAACUGGUAAAGAUUAGGUCGGGGCAGUUUAUAGAGUCCAACAAACAGGGUAGGCAGUGGACCGGCUGUAACCCCACCUGCCCCUGCAGGCCCCAGCCAAAUCCUCCUUCUGGGUGCCCCCCCACCCCACCCCACCAGCAGUCUCUUAGGGUGGGGUCCAGCAUGGGAUCCUUGCGCUUCCCGGGUUUCUGACCAUCCCGCUUACGGUAGAGUUAGGAAGACGCUACUCACUUGCCCAGGUGGGGGUCGGCUGCCCUGGGUCACCUGCCCAGGUGGGGGUCAGCUUUCCUGCCUGACUCAAAUGCAUCUCACCCCUGCUGGGAUGUCUUCACCGUGUGUGUGUAUGUGUGUGUGUGUGUGUGUGUGUGUCCCCAAUGGGAUGUGUCCACGGUGCAUGUGUGUCUGUGUCCCUGUCGGGAUGUGUUACGCUGUGUUUGUGUCUGUCUGUGUGUGUGUUCCACCAGCUGUGUUCUCCGUGCAUGUGUGUCUGUCCCUGUCAGGAUGUGUUACUGUGUGUGUCUCUGUGUGUGUCUCUGUGUGUGUGUCUGCACAUGUCUGUGUCUGUCCCUGUUGGGAUGUGUUUACUGAGUGUGUCUGUGUGUGUGUCUGUGUGUCUGUCCCUGUCGGGAUGUGUUUACUGUGUGUGUGUCUGCGUGUGUAUGUGUUUGUGUCCCUGUCGGGAUGUGUUCGCCGUAUGCAUGUCUAUGUCUGUGAGACACACACCCCUAGAGACACACCUCCCACGCUGACUUCCUGGAUCCCGGG
rnacentral:lncRNA from 1 species